UGAAGCUGAGCGGUUUAACUGGCGUUUCCAGUCUGUAGCAGGCUUUUAUUUUGAAAUUGUGCUGUGCUUUUAUUUUGAAAGGCAGAGACAGGAAGAUCUCACCUGGUCAAAAUUUGGAUUGGAGUUACUCAAAAGGCUGUGUGAAGCUGAGCGGUUUAACUGGCGUUUCCAGCCCAUCGCAGGCUUUUAUUUUGAAAUUGUGCUGUGCUUUUAUUUUGAAAGGGAAAGACAGGAAGAUCUCACCUGGUCAACAUUUGGAUUGGAGUUACUCUAAAGCAGGGGUGUCAAACUCUGUUCCUGGAGGUCCACUAUCCUCUAUGUUUUAGAUGUUUCCCUCUUCCAACACACCUGUUUCAAAUAAUCAGCUCAUCAUCAAGCUCAGCAGAAGCCUGAUAACGAGCCUGAUC